CAUUCUCGACGUACUCGCACUGAGAUCCAAUAUUGCGCUCACUACCGUGUUCUCAGGCUUCCUCAGCAUCGAAACAUUUUUCUUGCUCAGCGGAUUUUUGGUUGCUUACGCCAUAUUCAACGAGGUGCAUCAGAAAAAACCACCAACUCCGUGGCCGAUGAAAUUGUGGAAGAGGUAUGUGAGAUUGACGGGACCGCCAGUUUUACUCGUACUGGUGUUGUUCGUGUACCCGGCCUUAAUGAACGGGCCAGUAGCAGACCACAUCAAAGAUGACAUGUUGCUCAAGCCAUGCCAGAGCUCCUGGUGGACACCCCUGGUGCACGUCAUAAACAUACAGCGCAUCAAAAAAAUGGUAGUUUUCUACACCAAUAACUAUCGACGAAAACGUUGCAAC
rnacentral:lncRNA from 1 species